rnacentral:rRNA from 1 species
UACGUAGGUGGCAAGCGUUGUCCGGAAUUACUGGGCGUAAAGCGUGCGCAGGCGGCUUUGCAAGACAGAUGUGAAAUCCCCGGGCUCAACCUGGGAACUGCAUUGUGACUGCAAGGCUGGAGUACGGUAGAGGGGAUGGAAUUCCGCGGUGUAGCAGUGAAAUGCGUAGAUAUGCGGAGGAACACCGAUGGCGGAAGGCAAUCCCUGGACCUGUACUCGACGCUCAUGC